rnacentral:rRNA from 1 species
AUACGGAGGGUGCAAGCGUUGUCCGGAUUUAUUGGGUUUAAAGGGUGCGUAGGUGGCGUGUUAAGUCAGUGGUGAAAGCCUGCAGCUCAACUGUAGAGGUGCCAUUGAUACUGACAUGCUUGAGUAUGGACGAGGUAGGCGGAAUUUGUGGUGUAGCGGUGAAAUGCAUAGAUACCACAAAGAACACCGAUAGCGAAGGCAGCUUACUGGACCAUAACUGACACUGAGGCACGAAAGUGUGGGUAGCGAACAGGAUUAGAUACCCGAGUAGUCC